AGAGUUUGAUCAUGGCUCAGAACGAACGCUGGCGGCGCGCCUAAUACAUGCAAGUCGAGCGAGAAGGUGUAGCAAUACACUUGUAAAGCGGCGAACGGGUGAGGAAUGCAUGGGUAACCUACCCUCGAGUGGGGAAUAACUAGCCGAAAGGUUAGCUAAUACCGCAUACGUUUCCGGGACUUCGGUUCCGGAAAGAAAGCAAUACCGUGGGUAUUGCGCUCAUGGAUGGGCUCAUGUCCUAUCAGCUUGUUGGUGAGGUAACGGCUCACCAAGGCUUCGACGGGUAGCUGGUCUGAGAGGACGAUCAGCUACACUGGCACUGCGACACGGGCCAGACUCCUACGGGAGGCAGCAGUAAGGAAUAUUGCGCAAUGGACGAAAGUCUGACGCAGCGACGCCGCGUGGGGGAUGAAGGUCUUCGGAUUGUAAACCCCUUUCGGGAGGGAAGAUGGAGUGGGUAACCACUUGGACGGUACCUCCAGAAGCAGCCACGGCUAACUUCGUGCCAGCAGCCGCGGUAAUACGAAGGUGGCAAGCGUUGUUCGGAUUCACUGGGCGUACAGGGAGCGUAGGCGGUUGGGUAAGCCCUCCGUGAAAUCUCCGGGCCUAACCCGGAAAGUGCAGAGGGGACUGCUCAGCUAGAGGAUGGGAGAGGAGCGCGGAAUUCCCGGUGUAGCGGUGAAAUGCGUAGAGAUCGGGAGGAAGGCCGGUGGCGAAGGCGGCGCUCUGGAACAUUUCUGACGCUGAGGCUCGAAAGCGUGGGGAGCAAACAGGAUUAGAUACCCUGGUAGUCCAA
rnacentral:rRNA from 1 species